UAUUUUAUUCAUUUUUUAAAAUUGACUUCUUUCUUUGUAGAUACUAUAGAUAACAUGAACCACACAACAAAUAAUAAGACCACAGUUGCUCCAUCAGGUCAGACUGAAAACACUGAUAGUUCUUCUGUCUCGGUCACAUCAGAGAAACCAACAACAGUCAUAACUCCAGAUAUUUUGACCUCAACUAACACAACCACUAUGAAUCCAGCUCCUGGUGAU